UCAGAUUGGGUUGAAUUUACUCCAUAUGAGAUCGGCAUGGCAAAAUAUGGUACUUUCAUGACUCCUGACUUAUUUGGAAGCAAAUUUUUUAUGGGGAAAGUUGUAAAGAAAUAUGAAGAAAACCCCUUGCAUUUCUUAAUGGGUGUCUGGGGCAGUGCCUUUUCUAUAUUGUUCAACAGAGUCUUGGGAGUUUCCAGCUCACAAAAUAAGGGUUCCACAAUGGAGGAAGAAUUAG